CCUACGGGAGGCUGCAGUGAGGAAUAUUGGUCAAUGGACGAGAGUCUGAACCAGCCAAGUAGCGUGAAGGAUGACUGCCCUAUGGGUUGUAAACUUCUUUUAUAUGGGAAUAAAACGUUCCACGUGUGGGAUUUUGUAUGUACCAUAUGAAUAAGGAUCGGCUAACUCCGUGCCAGCAGCCGCGGUAAUACGGAGGAUCCGAGCGUUAUCCGGAUUUAUUGGGUUUAAAGGGAGCGUAGGUGGAUUGUUAAGUCAGUUGUGAAAGUUUGCGGCUCAACCGUAAAAAUGCAGUUGAAACUGGCAGUCUUGAGUACAGUAGAGGUGAGCGGAAUUCGUGGUGUAGCGGUGAAAUGCUUAGAUAUCACGAAGAACUCCGAUUGCGAAAGCAGUUCACUGGACUGCAACUGACACUGAGGCUCGAAAGUGUGGGUAUCAAACAGGAUUAGAUACCCUUGUAGUC
rnacentral:rRNA from 1 species